UCUGCUGGGAUGGCAGCAACAGCAAAGGCUUCAGGACAAGCUGGCCUCUCACCAAGAAGGGAAACUGGCAGUGGAGUAGAUGAGAGAGUGUUUAUGGAUGGCUCAGCCAGAAUGAAUAGCUAACGUGAUUGGUGAGGAUCCUCUGUCCCUGGCUCUUGUCCAUCCUCUGUCCCCAACUGCCACCAGGUUCCAGAAGCUACCACGAUGCCAACCAGACCUCACUGGGCAGACGACCCCACCAAUGUGUCCUAGAGCCCCGCUUUCCCAGAACCCCGCUCUACUAGUCAAAGAGAAAGACAGGCUGGGAGUAUGGAUCAACCUGCCAAUGCCCAUGUUCAGCGAAGAAGCAGUUACAGAAGCCAGACCUUUCAUCUUCUGCACCCCAUAAUGACCCUGGGUCCAUACUCCCAGAGGGAUAAAGAAUAGGAAAGCUAUCAGGGGAGGGGAUGGGAUAGGAAGUUCUGGUGGUGGGAAUUGUGUGGAGUUGUACCCUCUUAUCUUACAGUUUUGUCAGUGUUUCAUUUUUAUAAAUAAAAAUUAAAAAAAGAAAGAAAAAUAAAA